rnacentral:rRNA from 1 species
AUUGAACGCUGGCGGCAGGCCUAACACAUGCAAGUCGAACGGUAACAGGAAGCAGCUUGCUGCUUUGCUGACGAGUGGCGGACGGGUGAGUAAUGUCUGGGAAACUGCCCGAUGGAGGGGGCUAACUACUGGAAACGGUAGCUAAUACCGCAUAACGUCGCAAGACCAAAGAGGGGGACCUUAGGGCCUCUUGCCAUCGGAUGUGCCCAGAUGGGAUUAGCUAGUAGGUGGGGUAACGGCUCACCUAGGCGACGAUCCCUAGCUGGUCUGAGAGGAUGACCAGCCACACUGGAACUGAGACACGGUCCAGACUCCUACGGGAGGCAGCAGUGGGGAAUAUUGCACAAUGGGCGCAAGCCUGAUGCAGCCAUGCCGCGUGUAUGAAGAAGGCCUUCGGGUUGUAAAGUACUUUCAGCGGGGAGGAAGGGAGUAAAGUUAAUACCUUUGCUCAUUGACGUUACCCGCAGAAGAAGCACCGGCUAACUCCGUG